rnacentral:rRNA from 1 species
CCUACGGGAGGCAGCAGUAGGGAAUAUUGCUCAAUGGGGGAAACCCUGAAGCAGCAACGCCGCGUGGAGGAUGAAGGUUUUCGGAUUGUAAACUCCUUUUGUUAGAGAAGAGAAUGACGGUAUCUAACGAAUAAGCACCGGCUAACUCCGUGCCAGCAGCCGCGGUAAUCAGGAGGGUGCAAGGGUUACUCGGAAUCACUGGGCGUAAAGAGCGCGUAGGCGGGAUAGCAAGUCAGAUGUGAAAACCUAUGGCUUAACCAUAGAACUGCAUUUGAACCUGUUAUUCUAGAGUAGGGGAGAGGUAGGUGGAAUUCUUGGUGUAGUGGUCAAAUCCGUAGAGAUCACGAGGAAUACUCAUUGCGAAGGCGACCUGCUAGAACAUAACUGACGCUGAUGCGCGAAAGCGUGGGGAGCAAACAGGAUUAGAUACCCCUGUAGUC